rnacentral:rRNA from 1 species
GAUGAACGCUAGCUACAGGCUUAACACAUGCAAGUCGAGGGGUAGCAGGGUAGCAAUACCGCUGACGACCGGCGCACGGGUGAGUAACACGUAUCCAACCUUCCCAUAACUCAGGGAUAGCCUUUCGAAAGAAAGAUUAAUACCUGAUGGUACGUAUAAAGGGCAGCUUUUAUAAGUUAAAGAUUUAUUGGUUAUGGAUGGGGAUGCGUUCCAUUAGAUAGUUGGUGAGGUAACGGCUAACCAAGUCUUCGAUGGAUAGGGGUUCUGAGAGGAAGGUCCCCCACAUUGGUACUGAGACACGGACCAAACUCCUACGGGAGGCAGCAGCGAGGAAUAUUGGUCAAUGGGCGCGAGCCUGAACCAGCCAAGUAGCGUGAAGGAUGAAGGUCCUAUGGAUUGUAAACUUCUUUUAUAGUAGAAUAAAGUGAGCCACGUGUGGUUUUUUGUAUGUAUACUAUGAAUAAGGAUCGGCUAACUCCGUGCCAGCAGCCGCGGUAA